rnacentral:rRNA from 1 species
GAUGAACGCUGGCGGCAUGCCUAACACAUGCAAGUCGAUCGGUAAGGCUCUUCGGAGUACACGAGAGGCGGACGGCUGAGUAACGCGUAGGAACACACCCUGCAGUGAGGGAUAAGACACCGAAAGGUGUUCUAAUACCGCAUACGGUCUUCGGAUUAAAGCAUUUAUGCGCUGAAGGAGUGGCCUGCGUCAUAUUAGAUAGUUGGUGAGGUAAUGGCUCACCAAGUCGAUGAUGUGUAGCUGGUCUGAGAGGAUGAUCAGCCAGACUGGAACUGAGACACGGUCCAGACUCCUACGGGAGGCAGCAGUGAGGAAUAUUUCACAAUGAGCGAAAGCUUGAUGGAGCAAUGCCGCGUGCAGGAUGAAGGCCCUCGGGUUGUAAACUGCUUUUAUAAGGGAAGAUUAUGACGGUAACUGAUGAAUAAGGGACGGCUAACUACGUG